rnacentral:lncRNA from 1 species
UGGAAUACAAAGGCAUGACAGGGCUGUCACCCCUGGGGCUACCACAACUAUCCAUGGGAUUGAGCGUAACCUUAGGUAAACUAUAGCCUAGACACCAUGUCUACACUAGCGUUUACUACUCUAAUUACCAUAUAUAACUAGAGCACUCAAUACGAACAGAUAUCCCAUGCCAAGAUAUAACAACUACACUAAUCAUAAAUAGGCAUAAAGUAAAUAGAGAAGAUAACAUAUUAAAGCAUAAGUCUUACAAAGAUGAGAUAUGAAGACAUACCAAAACUCUAAAGAAGACUCCUCCAGAACUGGAGCGUAGCUCCGCUCUCCCUAACUCCCGUCUAGAACUAAUCUUCUAUGUUGGAAUGUCUAGCCCUAAUUCUCUAUAGAGGAGAGGUCAUGCAUUCGAGGGAUGCCUCUACAACUCAUAAUGAUUCUCUUCCAGGGGGUCAGGCUUAUAUUUAUAGGGGGUAUCUGACCCCUCCUCUACCUUGAACUAGCGAUGUGGUACUAAUCUUUCCACCCCCUAGGAGAAACCAAAGCCUUCGGAUCAAAUUGACUUAAACGUGUGCUUAAGAUAAACCCUCAAAGGCAGUGGAUCAGGAAUCCUCAAGCCGGAGCCUGAUAGGCUCCUAUGGCCAGGCAGCCGCCUACGGGGGUGGGGCGGGCGCCCAUCCCCAAUGGCCAUUUGCCUUGCCUUCUCGUUCGUUCUGGUAUCUUCUCGAACCUUCUUGACUCCACAAAAGUUUAUUUUCUUGUGAAAUUCAUAUUCCUUCACCCAAUACUCCAAAUAGGGCAAAUGAUACAUGGAUUUCAAUUGUCUCGACGAGCCCGUUGUAAUCUUGCAGUCCAAUUCAUCAUUUGAGAUACUUUUAUUCAAUGAUUAGUUUGCCUUUAGCUCUUUUCCUGUGUAACCCCUACAAAACACAGAUGCACCCAAACUUGUGGAAUUUGUUAGUUCAAACCUCUAAACCUAUGUUGGUGAGCAUCUCUUUGCAGAUAUAAAAGUUAUGUUGACAGUUAAAAAUAGGAGUUAACUACCAUCAACAAACUCCCCCAAACUUACCUUUUGCUCAUCCCUGAGCAAAUUUAGACUCAGUGAUGGAUCAGGAGUUGCUACAAUGCUUUCACGCCUCAUAAGUACACAAGCAUUCAAACGAGGACUCCCCUCCGGAUUAGAGUGAAGUAUUCUAACUCAAGACUCACCCAUUUUGCCUUUCACCAUGGGGCUUAUAGCUAUCACUUAGGUUUUGGGCAGUUGAAAGCCAGAACAGUUAAGUUGAGCACUAUGCUACUUGCUCUUUGAUCAACUAUUAUUCUGGAGUUUUGCAAGAUUUUCAAAUAAAACUCUGAGUUUCCUUGUAUGACCCUUUCUAGUCUCUCAUAUGUGGUAUUUUUGGAUCCUCUCUAAGGCAAGUGAGUAUGCCUUCUCUCUACUCUCAGAAUAUGUGGUAUUAGUAUCACUAAAACAUAGUUGCCUUCUGUCUCUCACCCUACUUCUAAUUGGCUUAUGUGGAGCUCAUAGGUGGGAAAGACAAUUCAAACCUACUUGCAUGUAUUGCAUAAUUAAACCAUGGGUCCAAAGAGACUAAUUAUACAAUCAAGUCAUAUGUGCAUGUCAGUGAAGUGAAUGAAGUGUAUGAUUAGAAUGAAAGUGGUUAUGAGGGGUGAUAACUAAUGGUGAAUAUCUUAUUCUACAAUUGCUCCUUGGGGAUAACAUACCUCCCUAAUCUGAGAACAAGGAUUUGGUUGUCUUUCUUUCUUUUGCAUCGGGACUUUUGUCCUCUGUCUUUUCUUUUCUCUCUCUUUUAUUUUUUUAUUUUCAUUUCAUUUUUUUAGAUCAACCAACCCUUUUAAUGCACUAAUAGAAAUAGGGAGUACCUACUGAAAUAACUAGAGCUUUAUUGGAUAAGUAGAAUAAGACAUAAUGGCAAUGAAUAUUUUUGGGUGUCUUCCCCCAAUGUAGGAGUAGAACAUUUUCUCAGUGGAUGUGGAAUGUGGAUGGGUGAAUGCGUACUCCCAGGGUAGGAGCAGCAUAAGUGCAUGUCUCUAUGAUAGAAACAACAUAGAGUGUAGUGCGUAUAUGUGGGUGGUACUUCUAGGAACAGAAGUAGCAUAUAGUGAAUGUGAUGGAUGUAAGUGGUUGCAUACUUCUGAGGAUAGAAGUAGCUAAGAUCAAUGGAUCGAGAGCACAUAAUAUUGACUUUAACUGCAUGACUAGUUCCUUAGGGUCUACACAGCUUAACUACCCUCAAUGCUUAUAGGUUGAAAUAUAAGUGGAGGUUUUCCUAAUCUAGUAAGCAUGAGUAUUUGGCUGUGGUAGGAAUUUUAAACCCUCCGAGUCUCAUGCGUAGAGAGGUCUGCAAACGCGCGACCUCACCAGACUCGAUCCGGUGCUCACCAGACUCAUGCACAGAGAGGGUUGCAAACAGCCUGCACACCAGACUCACACCACAGGACGCACCCUGAGCGUCUCCUAGUAAGAAAACCCUCUGAUGAAGAUAGGCCACACCGGACGCAAGAACAGGGAACACCCUGCGUCCGGUGCAGUGCGUCCGGUGCUCAACCCUAAUAGGGCCAAGCACUGACAGCACAUCGGACCCUAAGGGCUAGCGUCCAUUGCCUCUGCGCACUGCGUCUGUUCCCGUGACUUCCCCAAAUUUCCCACCGACACAAUAGAAAAUAUGCACUUCAUUUUCUCAAAAACGCCGAAUCCCGCCGAGCAAGCUUGGCGGGAGGGAGAGAGGAACCCAAACCCCUCUCUACCCUUCAACCUCAACCUCCAUCUCAAAGUGUGCUAACACCACCAAGUGUGUACCAACAAGUGCAUGUGUGUUAGCAUUUUCACAAUCAUUUUCUUUGAAGGAGUUAAGUUAGCUCACU